rnacentral:rRNA from 1 species
CCCCUAGUAACUGCGAGUGAAGCGGGAAAAGCUCAAAUUUCAAAUCUGGCGGUUCCGCCGUCCGAGUUGUAUUCUGGAGAAGCGUCUUCUGUGCCGGACCGUGUACAAGUCCCUUGGAACAGGGCGUCGUAGAGGGUGAGAAUCCCGUCUUUGACACGGACCGCCGGUGCUAUGCGAUGCGCUCUCGACGAGUCGAGUUGUUUGGGAAUGCAGCUCAAAAUGGGUGGUAAAUUCCAUCUAAAGCUAAAUAUUGGCGAGAGACCGAUAGCGAACAAGUACCGUGAGGGAAAGAUGAAAAGCACUUUGGAAAGAGAGUAAAACAGUACGUGAAAUUGUUGAAAGGGAAACGCUUGAAGUCAGUCGCGUCUGCCGGAACUCAGCCUUGCUCACGCUUGGCGCACUUUCCGGUCCGACGGGCCAGCAUCGGUUUCGAGCGGCGGACACUGGCGGGGGGAAGGUGGCAGCUCCGGCUGUGUUAUAGCCCUCCGUCGCAAACGYCGCCCGGGACCGAGGAAUCCGGCGCGAGCCUGGGAUGCUGGCGUAAUGGCUUUAAACGACCCGUCUUGAAACACGGACCAAGGAGUGCUACGUGCUCGCGAGUGUUUGGGUGGAAAACCCGGACGCGCAAUGAAAGUGAAAGUCGAUACCCCUCGCGGGGGCACCGACGCCCGAGCCUGAUGUUUUCGGACGGCCUUGCGGUAGAGCGAGUGCGUUGCGACCCGAAAGAUGGUGAACUAUUCCUGAGGAGGGCGAAGCCAGAGGAAACUCUGGUGGAGGCUCGUAGCGGUUCUGACGUGCAAAUCGAUCGCAGGACUUGGG